UGAGCACUCGCUUGUUUGAUGCUCCCUGGGUGAAACAUAACCGUAAUAAUUGAAUAAAUGAAGUAUAGGAUACUUUAAUAAGUGGGUGAUGGUUUCAUAUGCUGUGCUGUUGGUUUGGUUUGAGUUUGAGGAUAAAUUGGCAUCUUAAGUUCUAGAUCUGGUGAAGUCAGUUAGUUGUAGCUGUCCUAUGUGGACUCGAAAGGUUGAAGGCUCUUGCAGUUAGUUCGACCGUCUCUGUUGAGAACCAGCAACGCUAUUUAUCAUGAGAAAUCAAGCGAAUGAGCAUACAACAUUUGUUUGUUUCGUGUCAUCACAAAAAUAAUGCGGUUUGUUAUAUUUGUUGGGGACAAGUACAGAUUAUCAGUUCUUCUGUUCAUCUGAAGUAAAGUAUAUUCUUAGGAUCCUGAUAAGUG
rnacentral:lncRNA from 1 species